AGUCCAAUACUUUGGAAGAAAAGUAGACAUAAAUAAGUCAUGCCUUUUCCAAAUCCCAUAAAUCCAAGAAAAGAAGCACUUGGUUUAAGGAGGUGCAGAUGGGCCCACCCUGCUCACCAUGUGUGCUCCAAAACAUUUCCUUUUUAAAAUUCUACUCAUUAAUCAUCUCUACCUAUAUUACUAAAAUAUGCACUCUUGUGUUUAGCAGAAACUCAAUGAGUGUAAUUUUCAGGUAGAUUUUGAUAAGAAACUGGUUUAUUUCAGAAAGUAGCAAGUAUAAACACUGGGUUAUUUCUCCUCUUCUUUCAUUUUAGUUGCUUUUUGAUAUGCCAUACAACAGGACUUUAGAAGCUGAAGCUGACAAGGUGGGACUUCAGUUUGCUGCUAAGGCUUGUAUGGAUGUAAGAGCCAGUUCUGUCUUCUGGCAGCAAAUGGAACUGGCUAAGAUUGUACAGAAUGAACCCAAAUUACCAGAAUGGCUUUCUACACACCCAUCACACGAGAAUCGAGCU